rnacentral:rRNA from 1 species
UUGUACCUACGGGAGGCAGCAGUGGGGGAUAUUGCACAAUGGGGGAAACCCUGAUGCAGCGACGCCGCGUGGGCGAAGAAGUAUUUCGGUAUGUAAAGCCCUAUCAGCAGGGAAGAAGAAAUGACGGUACCUGAGUAAGAAGCACCGGCUAAAUACGUGCCAGCAGCCGCGGUAAUACGUAUGGUGCAAGCGUUAUCCGGAUUUACUGGGUGUAAAGGGAGCGUAGACGGUUAUGCAAGUCUGAAGUGAAAGCCCAAGGCUCAACCAUGGGACUGCUUUGGAAACUGUAAAACUGGAGUGCAGGG